rnacentral:rRNA from 1 species
UACGGGGGGGGCAAGCGUUGUUCGGAAUUACUGGGCGUAAAGGGCCCGUAGGCGGCCAACUAAGUCCGACGUGAAAUCCCAAGGCUUAACCUUGGAACUGCGUCGGAUACUGGAUGGCUUGAAUUCGGGAGAGGGAUGCAGAAUUCCAGGUGUAGCGGUGAAAUGCGUAGAUAUCGGGAGGAACACCUGUGGCGAAAGCGGCUCACUGGACCACAACUGACGCUGAGGCGCGAAAGCUAGGGGAGCAAACAGG